AAUGAACGCUGGCGGCAGGCCUAACACAUGCAAGUCGAGCGAGCGGAGGACGGGUGAGUAAUGUAUGGGAAACUGCCUGAUCGAGGGGGAUAACUAAUGGAAACGGUAGCUAAUACCGCAUAAUAUCAGCUGAGCCCAUAUGGGAUUAGCUAGUAGGUGGGGUAAUGGCUCACCUAGGCGACGAUCCCUAGCUGGUCGGAGAGGAUGAUCAGCCACACGGGGACUGAGACAGGGUCCAGACUCCUACGGGAGUCAGCAGGGGGGAAUAUUGCGCAAUGGGCGCAAGUCUGAUGCAGCCAUGCCGCGGGAGUGAAGAAGGCUUUAGGGUUGUAAAGCACUUUCAGCGUGGAGGCGUUACCCGCAGAAGAAGCACCGGCUAACUCCGUGCCAGCAGCCGCGGUAAUAC
rnacentral:rRNA from 1 species